rnacentral:lncRNA from 10 species
CUAGAGUAACUAUGUGAUGCUUAGAAACUGCUGCAGCCAUGUUGCUAUCACUAGAGGGGUAAUCUUAAGGUAACACUGACACACGGAGAAGACAGAACUGUGAAAUGGAGCUUGGUGAAAGAUUAUAAACAGAUUCCUGUAUCAAGCUGUAACUGAAACUCUUCUACUCCUAAAUCUCCAGUUGAGACAGAAAAUUGCCAUUUAUUAGAUUCAAAA